AUGCUCGCUUCAGAAGCACGUAUACUAAAAUUGGAACGAUACAGAGAAGAUUAGCAUGGCCCUGGCACAAGAAUAAACACGCAAAUUUGUGAAGCAUUCCAUAUUUAA